GCUCAUUUAUUUAUUAAGAAAUAAGAUAUUAAUAUUACAUGAAGUAAUAAAGUUGAGAAUACAAAGUUGAGUAAUAAAGUUGAGAAUACAAAACGUGCGUAGUUUUAAACAUGCAUAAUAGCCUAAUAUCAACUGUGAUUGGUUGAUUUCAGUUAAUCACAAACAGUAGUGCAAAAAUAAUAAUUAUAAUAAUAAUAAUAAUGAAAACUUUUUUGAAUUUUUGAUGCACUUACAAUUGAAAAUCUCACUGUUAAAGGUAAUUUACAAUUGGCUACUUGAUACACUAUACAUUACUACAAAAAGUCACAGACUAACUAGAAGUAUAUUAAAUCUGGAUUCGAUCAAUCCUUGUUUCUACAACAGAAAACGUAAUAUGUCGUUUUUAUUGCAAUGUUAAUGAUUUUCCUUAUGGUAUAUUUAACACAGGCCUUAUCUGAGUUCAAAUGUUCCAACAUUUG